GAUGAAGAACGUAGCGAAAUGCGAUAAGUAAUGCGAAUUGCAGAAUUUCUAGUGAGUCAUCGAAUCUUUGAACGCACAUUGCGCCCUUUGGUAUUCCGAAGGGCAUGCCUGUUCGAGCGUCAUUAUCAACCCUCAAGCCUGGCUUGUUGUUGGACCUCAGGUCGCCGCUCCGGUGGACCGGUCUCAAAGACAAUGACGGCGUCCGUGGGACCCUCGGUGCAAUGAGCUUCUUCCAAAGCACGCAUCAGAGUGGGCUCGCGGGGGCCGUCUCCCCGUCAUAUUUUAUCAAGGUUGACCUCGGAUCAGGUAGGAAUACCCGCUGAACUUAAGCAUAUCAAUAAGCGGAGGA
rnacentral:misc_RNA from 1 species